rnacentral:rRNA from 1 species
AUUGAACGCUGGCGGCAGGCCUAACACAUGCAAGUCGAGCGGGGGUAGCAAUACCCUAGCGGCGAACGGGUGAGGAAUGCUUGGGAAUCUGCCUGGUAGUGGGGGAUAACGUUCCGAAAGGAACGCUAAUACCGCAUACGUCCUACGGGAGAAAGGGGGGGAUCUUCGGACCUCUCGCUAUCAGAUGAGCCCAAGCGGGAUUAGCUAGUUGGUGGGGUAAAGGCCCACCAAGGCGACGAUCCCUAGCUGGUCUGAGAGGAUGAUCAGCCACACGGGAACGGAGACCCGGUCCAGACUCCUACGGGAGGCAGCAGGGGGGAAUAUUGGACAAUGGGCGAAAGCCUGAUCCAGCCAUGACGCGUGUGUGAAGAAGGCCUUCGGGUUGUAAAGCACUUUAAGCGAGGAGGAAGGUUCGUUACUUAAUACGUAACGGAAUUGACGUUACUCGCAGAAUAAGCACCGGCUAACUCUGUGCCAGCAGCCGCGGUAA